UACGGAGGGUGCAAGCGUUAUCCGGAUUCACUGGGUUUAAAGGGUGCGUAGGCGGGUAAGUAAGUCCGUGGUGAAAUCUCUGAGCUUAACUCAGAAACUGCCGUCGAUACUAUUUGCCUUGAAUAUUGUGGAGGUGAGCGGAAUAUGUCAUGUAGCGGUGAAAUGCUUAGAUAUGACAUAGAACACCAAUUGCGAAGGCAGCUCACUACACAAUCAUUGACGCUGAGGCACGAAAGCGUGGGGAUCAAACAGG
rnacentral:rRNA from 1 species